UGAGGAAUUUUCCGCAAUGGGCGAAAGCCUGACGGAGCAAUGCCGCGUGGAGGUGGAAGGCCUACGGGUCGUCAACUUCUUUUCUCGGAGAAGAAACAAUGACGGUAUCUGAGGAAUAAGCAUCGGCUAACUCCGUGCCAA
rnacentral:rRNA from 1 species